rnacentral:lncRNA from 1 species
AACGAUGAGAAAGAUAGAGAUUGACAGUUCAUGAAAGUUUGCCUGAUAUACUUUGAAGAACUAGUCAAAUGAUUUUGUCAGACAGCUCUGCAGCAUACAGUACUUAGGCAGGCUAGCCUAGCUAAAUAGAAUGACAAAAGACAGUACAGGAUAUGUAGCACAGAGAUAACAUUAGAUGGCCUGGCUGGCUGGCUGCUACUGCCUGAGCAGAGAUGAGAUGAUGACUUUAAGGAAUACAACAUAACAAAGUCAUACAAUAAAAACAAAUAAAAUAAAAGUUAUUUACACAACUGAAAUAUUUUAUUAUUUCAUAGUAAUUUCCUAUUUUCUUUUGAUGUCUACCCUACCUGACAGAGACAAUGUCGUAUUUUAAAUAUUUUGGCAAUUGAAUGUUCACUAUUUUGGACUUUGAAAUUUCCAUUAAAAAGCACUAAAAUCAAUUGAAUGUCAUUAUUUCAUAAUACAUUUCACGUUUAAAAAAAUGAUUGAACCCGUGAUUAUUUGAAAUAAUUGAACCGAAAACGAACCGACCUCAAAAAGCAGUAAUCACUCAGCACUAACCCACAUAUCCAAGAUUUUUUGUUACGCAUUAUAAUUUUUAAGGUUUAUAAUGUGCAGAUGAGAUGAGUUUCAUCUAAAGUCUGAAAUGUUUUUUUUUUUUUUUAAUGGCAAUGACAUCUCUAGUUCUGAUUUUCUCCUGUUUUUUCCCCCCUAGUUUUACCUACCAUGGUUGUGAUAAUUGGAUUUUCUGGACACCUGUAUGAGUGCAGUAUAUCCAGCGGAUUAUAACCAGGGAAAGGGGUAGGCUGCCCGGCCGGCCAGGCCCAGCCAGCAGGAACUUCCCAUGGCCACCUCCGCUCUGCUCCGAGGGACUGAGAAUACGUAAUGAGUUGCAGGGCUCCACAUUUACCACGGCUGAUCAGCUGAGAACAAUGAACUCGCGGGCACACAAUAGUGACUAGAGAGCCUCAAGGCAUUGUCUCUGUAUUUUUAGAGGGGGGAGAAAACGAGAGAGCCAGAGAAAGAGGAGAAUGGAGGGGAGAAAAGUG